CAAGUCUGCUGUCUAAAGCAUGGAGCUUAACUCCAUAGAGGCAGUGGAAACUGAAAGGGCUAGAGGCCGGUAGGGGUAGUGGGAAUUCCCAGUGUAGCGGUGAAACUGCGUAGAGAUUGGGAAGAACAUCGGUGGCGAAAGCGCACUACUGGGGCAGGACCUGACACUGAGGGACGAAAGCUAGGGGAGCAAAAGGGAUUAGAUACCCCUGUAGUCCUAGCCGUAAACGAUGGAGACGUAGGCGUAGCUUGUAUCGACCCAAGCUGUGCCGAAGCUAACGCGUUAAAGUCUCCCGCCUGGGGAGUACGCACGCAAGUGUGAUAACUCAAAGGAAUUGA
rnacentral:rRNA from 1 species